rnacentral:rRNA from 1 species
AUUGAACGCUGGCGGCAGGCCUAACACAUGCAAGUCGGGCGCGCGGCGGACGGGGGAGUAAUGUAUGGGGAUCUGCCUGAUGGAAGGGGGUAAUUACUGGAAACGGGAGCUAAUACCGCAUACCAUCGGAUUAACCGAUGUGGGAUUGGCUUGUAGGUGUGGUAGCGGCUCACCUAGGCGAGGCUCCCUAGCGGGUGGGAGAGGAUGAUCAGCAACACUGGGACUGAGACACGGCCCGGUCUCAUACGGGAGGCGGGAGAGGGGAAUAUUGCACAAUGGGCGCAAGCCUGAUGCGGCCAUGCCGCGUGGAUGAAGAAGGCCUUCGGGUUGUAAAGUACUUCUAGUCGGGAGGCGGUACCGACAGAAGAAGCACCGGCUAACUCCGUGCCAGCAGCCGCGGUAAUAC